rnacentral:rRNA from 1 species
AGGACGAACGCUGGCGGCGUGCUUAACACAUGCAAGUCGAACGAGGUCCAACCCGUCGCAAGACGGGGGAAGACCUAGUGGCGAACGGGUGAGUAACACGUGGGGAACGUGCCCCGGAGACCGGGAUAACAGCGGGAAACCGCUGCUAAUACCGGAUACCUUCUUUGACCGCAUGGUCAGCUGAAGAAAUGGAUUCCGCUCCGGGAGCGCCUCGCGGUCUAUCAGCUUGUGGUGGGUAACGCCUACCAAGGCGACGACGGAUAGCUGGUCUGAGAGGACGAUCAGCCACACUGGGACUGAGACACGGCCCAGACUCCUACGGGAGGCAGCAGUGGGGAAUCUUGCCCAAUGGGCGAAAGCCUGAGGCAGCAACGCCGCGUGUGGAUGAAGGCCCUUGGGUUGUAAACCACUUUCAGCAGGACGAAAAUGACGGUACCUGCAGAAGAAGCCCGGCAACUACGUGCCAGCAGCCGC